UACGGGGGGGGCAAGCGUUGUUCGGAAUUACUGGGCGUAAAGGGCUCGUAGGCGGCCAACUAAGUCAGACGUGAAAUCCCUCGGCUUAACCGGGGAACUGCGUCUGAUACUGGAUGGCUUGAGGUUGGGAGAGGGAUGCGGAAUUCCAGGUGUAGCGGUGAAAUGCGUAGAUAUCGGGAGGAACACCAGUGGCGAAGGCGAGUCUCUGGGAUGAUGCUGACGCUGAUGCGCGAAAGCCAGGGGAGCAAACGGG
rnacentral:rRNA from 1 species